rnacentral:rRNA from 1 species
UACGAAGGGUGCAAGCGUUACUCGGAAUUACUGGGCGUAAAGCGUGCGUAGGCGGUUUGUUAAGUCUGAUGUGAAAGCCCUGGGCUCAACCUGGGAAUGGCAUUGGAUACUGGCAACCUAGAAUGUGGUAGAGGGUGGCGGAAUUCCCGGUGUAGCAGUGAAAUGCGUAGAUAUCGGGAGGAACACCAGUGGCGAAGGCGGCUACCUGGACCAGCACUGACACUGAAGCACGAAAGCGUGGGGAGCAAACAGG